UUUUUGGAUUUUCAUUGGACAGCCUUUGUUUUUGGACUCAGUCAAUCAGCCACUCUGUUCUUCCUGUGCUAUAAUGUGAGAACCAAUGAUCUUCGACACACUCCACGGGAAAGGGACCUUUACCUGGAAGGAAGUUCAUCAGACUAAGAGAAGCACAGACACAAUCCUGUCCCACAGCACCACCCUCUACUGCAUCUACCAUCACUGUCUGAUUAACACUGCGAUUGUGUAUUAUCCAUUUAACAGAGGGAAGCCCCCUUUUUUUUUUUUUUUUUUUUUUUUCUUUCAACACUCUGUAACCGAUGGCACAAGUACUUUAUUCUAUUAAUUGACCCUUUACUAAGCCACGCCCUGAAUACACAGCUGGCCAAUCACAGCACACUAUAGGACUCUAUCUGAGGUCCGACACUUUCGUGGAUGGUCUCUAUUGACUCUAAUGAGUUUUCUUGGCUGUAUUUUUCUAAGACAUGGUCAAAUGCUGUUCCUGGGGCACAUGUAAUAAUUACAGUCGCUACCCAGAGGUUGAAAGGAGAAGUACGAUUUAUUCUUUCCAAAACCUAAAAUAAAUCCAGAAAAAUGUUGGCUGUGGAUUGUUCCUAAUGUUAGUUAGCUAACGCUAGCUAACGUCCUACUGAAAGCCCUACUGUUCUGCUUUUUAAUGAUCGUUAUAAUGAACAGAGGCAGGAACAGUGCUGAUCCUUAAUGCUGUUUUCUUUUGUCUCAAUUGUCGAGGGAUGCGAUGGUUCACUUGUACUGUGUGAUCGGUAGAUUUCUCUUUAAUUUUUUUUCACGUCAGUUUGAAUCAGUUAGAUAACCUGAAUACAACCUUCAAAUGUAUAACGCAACUGCAAAACUAUGCUUUUUUUCUGAGAUCGCUUUUUCCAACUAAUCUGACAAUAUUUCUGCAGGGAGUGCAGUAAUAGACAGCAGCAGUGCCGACAGUUUGUCGGACUAACAGUAACUAAGGGGGGCGGGGCUUAACGAAGGGUCAACUGCACAAAUUAUUCUUUUCAGGGUUUUAUUAGCAUGGACUUUAGUAUCGCCUUUUUAUCCAUUCAGUUACCUACAUUCUUAAAUACUAUGCAGUGAGGAUCUCUGUUGGAUAGUAUUAGUAAAGGACCAUUUCACCUAAACAAAAGUCCAAUUUUACAUGGCACAGCCAGUUCAGAGUGGCAAUGACAGAGAUUCCAUUUACCAUAGUCAGUGUACCAUCAAAAUGAUUUUGAGGCUGUUAUUUUAAGAUACAAAUAAAUAAUGUUGCUAUACCUGCUUUCUACUGAAGAAACGGUCCCUAUGAUAUGUGACGGUAAUCUUCAGUAACCCAGUUAUUGUUUGAAACACAUUGCUGUUGAGUCAAAAUUAAACUCCAUUUACUGCUUUUGUAUUUGGGUGGCAGCAGAAACCUGCUGUCUCUCAAAACCUCCUCACAUAAAACUGAAACUCUGUGCAUGGCUCAAUACGACCACUAAGCAGGAGGGAGAGAAAAAUAGCGUUCAUUCAUAUUCCUCACAAAUUCCAUGGUAUAAUUUUACUACCACAUUUGUGCACACAAAGUUCAGCCAGCACUUUUAUAUUCAUAAUGCCAUGUAUUUGCUCUGUUUUUAUUUAUAGAUACUCAUUCAUGCAAAACUAAUCCUUUAAUAAUUAUUCAUUAUAUAUUGUAUGUAUGGAUGACAAUUAAGAUCAUGUGAAAAUUAAAGAUUAAAGUGGGAGCAGUGAGAUUAUGAUAUCAGAAUGCUUGACUUGAAUUAUUUACUUUUCUUUUGACUUUAUUCAGAGAAAUUGUACUUUGUUCCUCAAACGUCUGAAUUAUUACUUUUAAAUUCAUCCUGCUUGUCCUCAGAAAUUUACUCAAUUUAAUAAUCUGAUAACAAACAAAUACUCUUUAUUUCAUUUGGCCCUAAUUAUCCACCUUAUUUUGUUCCUUUCUGUGAUGUUAUUUUAUUGCAUUUGUUAAAUCUGUUACAGCUGAAAGCAAAUCUCACAUUAUUCUUUAGUGUCACACUGAGCACACAAACUUUCAAAAAGACCAUCUACAAUCUGUUUUUGUGUUAUAUAUACUGACCAUCUGUUUUUAUGUAAAAUAUGUACUGACAUGUGAAUCCAGGUGAAAAUCAUAAUCCCAACUUCCAUGUGUCUUCCUCUGAUUACAAAAAUAAGCUUUAAGACACUCAAUACAUGGACAUAUUUUGUUGUUUGCACUUUACAAAGCCUUUUAUUGUUGUAUUAUUUUCCUGAACAUAAUGUAAGGGUUUCAUUUCAAUUUCUUUUUUUGUAGAAGCCUAAUGUUCACUGUUGGAUAGAAAAGUUGAUAAAUAUGUAUUUUUUUAAUGAACAGGUGCAAAUAUUCAGUGUUUCACAAGACAAAAAGCUGAAACAUUUGAGAAAAGCCUGAAAAAAAUGUAUUUCUUUAUUCUUAUAUAAAUACCUGUUAUCAUCUAUUGAAAUCUUUAGGACGCUUUGGGGUACCACUGAUUUAAAGCCACAAACAGUAUUUUUUGUGGCCAGAAAGAUUUGUUCUACAUUCUUUUAACAUCUUGUAGACUAUGUAUAUGCCGAAUUUGAGUUACAGAUGAAAAAUGUGAAUUUUGUGUUUUUUUUCCUUAAGAAACAUUACUAACUCAGAUUUAAGCAUAGCAGCACAAUGCAAUUCUGUGUUUAAAUUUUGUGUGGAACGGCUUCCAACAUUUGGUUCACAUAUUGUGUUAAUUUGUGUAGGUGGAUCUCUCAUUUUGGAAUGAAACUCUUGUUCUCACGGAUGUAUCUAUAGAAAUGCAAAUAAGAUUUCAUCCUGACUUUCACACCA